rnacentral:piRNA from 1 species
UCAUGCCUGCUUUGUACCACUCCAUGA